rnacentral:rRNA from 1 species
GGUAAGAUGACCAAGACUCCGUUCUCCGGAACAAUGGAGCGAGCAACCAACUUAUUGGAAAUCAUACAUACCGAUGUGUGCGGUCCAAUGAGUGUCGAGGCUCGCGGAGGAUAUCGUUAUGUUCUCACUCUCACUGAUGACUUAAGUAGAUAUGGGUAUGUCUACCUAAUGAAACACAAGUCUGAAACCUUUGAAAAGUUCAAGGAAUUUCAGAGUGAAGUUGAGAAUCAACGUGAUAGAAAAAUAAAGUUCCUACGAUCAGAUCAUGGAGGAGAAUAUUUAAGUCACGAAUUUGGUACGCACUUAAAGAAAUGUGGAAUCGUUUCACAACUCACGCCGCCUGGAACACCUCAGCGAAAUGGUGUGUCCGAACGUUGUAAUCGCACUCUAUUGGAUAUGGUGCGAUCUAUGAUGUCUCUUACCGACCUACCGCUCUCAUUUUGGGGCUAUGCUUUAGAGACUGCC